GCCGAUACGAGCUCCUGAUUUAACACGGUCGUCGCCUUGCUCAUUUGCGGUCACAGUCAUAAUACACAGGACUAGCUUCAAGCUGCUCCACAAAUAUCUCCAAAAUCUCCUUUGCAAGUUUUUCAAAUUGAUUUUUGUCAGAUAUUGAACCACACUUCUCUUUGGCUAUAUCAGCAAAUAUUGCAUCAUAGAGAAGAACCACGGCUUCAUUGGCUUCUGUUGGUGGCAAGCCCAGUUCCUUCCAUUCUUUUUCGAAGUAAUUCCUGAUUUUUUGCAAAGUUGUUACCCCAUCCUCUUCUUUAU
rnacentral:misc_RNA from 1 species